rnacentral:tRNA from 1 species
GGGGGGAUGCCCGAGUGGUCAAAGGGAGCGGUCUGUAAAAUCGCCGGCUCAGCCUACGGAGGUUCGAACCCUCCUCCCCCCA